rnacentral:rRNA from 1 species
AACGAACGCUGGCGGCAGGCCUAACACAUGCAAGUCGAGCGAACCCUUCGGGGUUAGCGGCGGACGGGUUAGUAACGCGUGGGAAUAUACCCUUUGGUACGGAAUAGCCUCGGGAAACUGAGAGUAAUACCGUAUGUGCCCUUCGGGGGAAAGAUUUAUCGCCAAAGGAUUAGCCCGCGUUGGAUUAGGUAGUUGGUGGGGUAAUGGCCUACCAAGCCUACGAUCCAUAGCUGGUUUGAGAGGAUGAUCAGCAACACUGGGACUGAGACACGGCCCAGACUCCUACGGGAGGCAGCAGUGGGGAAUCUUAGACAAUGGGCGCAAGCCUGAUCUAGCCAUGCCGCGUGGACGAUGAAGGCCUUAGGGUUGUAAAGUCCUUUUCAGAUGGGAAGAUAAUGACGGUACCAUCAGAAGAAGCCCCGGCUAACUCCGUG